rnacentral:rRNA from 1 species
UACGGAGGGUGCAAGCGUUAUCCGGAUUCACUGGGUUUAAAGGGUGCGUAGGUGGGUUGAUAAGUCAGUGGUGAAAUCCCCGAGCUUAACUUGGGAACUGCCAUUGAUACUAUUGAUCUUGAAUACCGUGGAGGUCAGCGGAAUAUGUCAUGUAGCGGUGAAAUGCUUAGAUAUGACAUAGAACACCAAUCGCGAAGGCAGCUGGCUACGCGAAUAUUGACACUGAUGCACGAAAGCGUGGGGAUCAAACAGG